AGAUGGCGACCGGCGCACGGGUGAGUAACACGUAUCCAACCUGCCGAUAACUCGGGGAUAGCCUUUCGAAAGAAAGAUUAAUACCCGAUGGCAUAAUAGAACCGCAUGGUUUGAUUAUUAAAGAAUUUCGGUUAUCGAUGGGGAUGCGUUCCAUUAGGCAGCUGGUGGGGUAACGGCCCACCAAACCUUCGAUGGAUAGGGGUUCUGAGAGGAAGGUCCCCCACAUUGGAACUGAGACACGGUCCAA
rnacentral:rRNA from 1 species